UUUAGAACUUUUCGUGCUAGGCAACUAAGGAAGCUCAACAUCUAAAAAAGUUGAUACAAGACUAUAUUGCUUCUUUCAUCAAAGUAGGAGAUAAGGCAACUGAGGAAGCUCAACAUCUAAAAAAGUUGAUACAAGACUAUAUUGCUUCUUUCAUCAAAGUAGGAGAUAAGAUGGAUCAUCGUUUGUGGAUGUAUAAUAUGCAUUAUGAAA